CAAAUGGGUGAAGAAGAUAGUUUCAAAUCGGUGUAAGGAAACCAAAACCCUAAACAGGAACAAAAGUCGACCAGAAUUGUGAAUGAUUCACAAACUGAAACACGAGGGAGGAGCACGCAACACGAAAUAGGGUACUGAGAGCUUUCCAUUUGUCUGUAUGGAAACAGUGACCCAUAUGAAGUAUUUCGUUAGAUUCUCAACAUUACCAUCAAUAAUCAUGCUCCGUAUGAAAGGUUGGGUGAAAUAACCACCUGCUCCAUUGACAACCUGAAUAAUUCCAUUCAAUCAAUACGACGAAUACUCUUUUUACAAGUGUCAGUUGUAGUUCCCACUAAAAUAUAUAGCAAAUUCUUGAUGUGGAAGCAGCCCUUACUCUUGCUUGCAAAAUGACCAUCAACAAUUACUACUUUGAAUGGGGUUGGCAGGUAAACAUGACGAUGAGGGGUUAUUGUUUCAGCUUCAGCUUCAGACAAAGUAAGGGAGUACCUUCUCCUUCAGCUGCAUUUCAUGACAUCAUGGACGUCCUCCUCAGCCAAUACAAGAACAACCCGAAUAGUAUGGAGGAAAUAGAAAAUCUGCUGAAUAUCAUGAGAUGCCAGGGCUGUGCAAUUGAUAUUGGCUUAGCUGGACGCCUCAUUAGCUUGUUUGGAAGGGUGGGCAUGGUGCACAAAUCUGUACAAGUGUUUCAUGAGGUAAAAAAAACAUACCCAAUUCUGAAUGUCUAUCCAUAUAACUGUCUGUUAGAUGUUUUUGUAAAUGUGGGUCACAUAGAUGAAUCUCUCAAAUUGUUACAUGAAAUGCUGAAAGACAACUUCGUGCCCAAUAACACUACUCUCUCUCAGCUAUUAGCUUCUUUGUUUAAACAAAAUAGAUUGCCAGAGGCGCAGGGGAUUAUAAUUCACACAAUCGAGAAAGGUUCUGAUGAACAAUUUACACAAAUCAUUCAUGUCCUGUGUGAAUUGGGAGAAACAAACAUGGCCUGGAAGCUUUUACAUUUAGCAAAAAGUAAAAGGGUUUGCCUCACUGUAGCACCAUUCAAUGUUCUCUUGAGUAGCCUUGGUCAUGAUGGUCAGCUCGCUAAUAUUGUUUUGCUUCUAUCUGAAAUGAAAGAGAUGGGAUUUGUUCCAAAUGUCAUAAUGUAUAAUACACUGAUAAAAUCUUUAUGCAGUUCAGGUCUAAUCGAGGAAGCAUACGAUCUCUUUAAAGAAAUGAGGUUCGCUGAUUGUGGUCCGGAUACUAUUACAUAUAAUACCCUAAUUCAUGGUCUUUGCAAGGAGGGUAAAGUGCAUGAAACGUAUGGGUUAGUAGCAAAAAUGAUGCAAGAUGGUUGUUCUCUGAGUAUUAUAACUUACAAUACCCUAAUUGAUGGUCUCUGCAAGGUGGGCAGGGUAGAUGAAGCUGUUCGAUUAAUGACUAAAAUGGUAAAAGAUGGCUUUUCUCUGAAUGUUAUUACAUACAAUACCCUAGCUAAUGGUCUCUGCAAGGUGGGCAGUACAGAUGAAGCUCUUGAAUUAGUAGCUAAAAUGGUACAAGAUGGGUGUUCUCUGAACAUUAUUACAUACAGUACUCUGAUUGAUGGUCUCUGCAAAGCAGGUAAAAUAAACACAGCCUUUGGUUUAGCAGAUAAAAUGAUGAAAAAUGGUUGUUCUCCUAAUACCGUUACAUACAGAUCCUUGAUUGAUGGUCUCUGCAAGGUGGGAAAAGUAGAAGAAGCUCUUAGAUUAGCAGAUAAAAUGAAACAAGAUGGCCGUUCUCUAAAUUAUAUUACAUAUGGGACCCUGAUUCAUGGUCUUACCAAGGUUGGUCGAAUGGAUUUAACUCUCAAAUUAGUAGCUCAGAUGAUGCGUUCAUGGUCUGCGCUGGAUAUUAUUACAUAUAAUACUUUAAUCAGCAGUUUCUUCAAGGAGAGUAGGGUACAUGAAGCACUUAGAUUAAUAGCAAAAAUGAUACAAAGUGGUUGUUAUCCAGAUAUAUUUACAUACAAUUCCCUGAUUGAUCAUCUAUGUAAGGUGGGUAACGUAGAUGAAGCUCUUAGAUUGGUAGCUAAAAUGGUAAACUAUGGCUUUUCUCCAAAUAUUAUUACAUACAAUACCCUAGUUAAUGGUCUCUGCAAGAUAGGUAGUGUACAUGAAGCUUUUGGAUUGGUAGCUAAAAUGGUACAAGAUGGUUGUUCUCUUAAUGUUAUUACAUACAGUACUCUGAUCGAUGGUCUGUGCAAGGCAGGUAAAGUAAAUGAAGCUCUUGGAUUAGCAGAUAAAAUGCUGCUAAAUGGUUGUUCACCUGAUAAUGUUACCUAUGGAACACUAAUUGAUGGUCUGUGCAAAGCAGGUAAAGCAAACAAAGCUCUUGAAUUAGCUGAUAAAAUGAAUCAAAAUGGUUGUCAUCCAGAUUAUAUUACAUACAGUACCCAAAUAAAUGGGCUUGCCAAGGUGGGCAGAGUGGAUUCAGCUCUUAAAUUGGUAGCUCAAAUGAGGCAUGCUCACUCUGGUCCAGAUAUUAUUACAUAUAAUACACUAAUCAGCAGUCUCUGCAAGGAGAAUAAGGUACAUGAAGCUUGUGGAUUAGUAGCAAAAAUGAUACAAGAUGGUUUUUAUCCAGAUAUUAUUACAUUUAAUACCCUAAUCGAUGGUCUGUGCAAAGUGGGCAAACUAGAUGAAGCUAUUGACUUGAAAGAUAAAAUGAUGCAAGAUGGUUGCAUACCUGAUGUUAUUACUUACAGUAUCCUAAUACAUGGUCUCUGGAAGGCAGGUGCAGUGGACUCAGCUCUUAGUAUGGUAGCUAAAUUGAGGGAUGCUGACUGUGCUGCAGAUAUUAUUGCAUACAGUAUCCUGAUUAAUGGUCUCUGCAAGGAGGGUAGAGUACAUGAAUCUCUUGGAUUAGUGGCUAAAACAAUACAAAGUAGUUGUUCUUGGGAUACUGUUAUGUACACCACCUUAGUUGAUUGUCUUUGGAAAGUGGGUGAAGUAAAUGAAGCUCUUGGAAUAGUAAAUAAAAUGAUACAAGAUGGUUGUUCUCCAGAUAUUCUGACAUUCAGUACCCUAAUUCAUGGCCUUUGCAAGUUGAAUAGAAUAGAUAUUGCUGUCAGAUUAGUAGGUAAACUGAAGCAUGUUGAUUGUUCUCCAGACAUUGUUACAUAUAAUAUCCUAAUUAAUAGUCUCUGCAAAGAGGGAAGAGUACAUGAAGCUCUUGAACUAGUAGCUCAAUUGGCACGAGAUGGUUGCUCUCCUGAUAUUAUCACAUACACUUCCUUAAUUAAUGGUUGCAGUAGGGUGGGUAAAGUAGACGAAGCUCUUGGAUUGGCAGAUAAAAUGAUACAAGAGCAUUGUUCUCCAGAUAUUAUCACAUAUGGUGCCCUAAUUGAUGGUCUCUGCAAGGUCAGUAGAGUGGAUUUAGCUCUCAGAUUAGUAGCUAAAAUGAAACAGGCUGAUCAUGCUCCAAAUAUUAUUAUAUACAAUAGCCUUAUUGAUGGUCUGUGCAAGGAGGGCAGAGUACAUGAAGCUCUUGGAUUAGUAGCCAAAAUGAUGCAAAAUGGUUUUUCUACAGACAUCAUUGCACGCAAUACACUGAUGGAUGGUCUUUACAACAUAGGCAGAGCAUAUGAAGCUCCUGGAUAAAUAUCUACAAUUAUAUAAGAUGAUUAUUCUAUCUUGAUAAAUGUCUUUCACAAGGAUGCCAUAAUAGAUUAAAGCUACAAUCUGUUUGUUCAAAUGGCGAAGUUGGGUCCUCCUCUCAGCACAAGACAUUUAGUACAAUUAUUGGACUGGACAUGGAUGGCAGGAUGGUCAAGACCCUGAAAUAUUUUAUAGCAUGCCCAAAAAAGGUUUUUGGCCAAAUUAUAACUUUUAGAGAUGCAGUUGUAAAAUACAAGGUGGAAAGAGUUAAUAGUGGUUUGAGGAAUUGCUUAGAAAAGGAUGUUUUCCAAUACAGGGGAAAAUAAAAUUCCCUUGCCUUUUCAAUGCUGGAUAAGAAAAUAGCAAGAGGCUUGGUUACAAAUGUCAUAACAUGCUCAUUUCGUUUUCCACAUAUACAGGAAAAAUGGUUGGCAUUACUCUGAUUGCCUCUUUUUGGAAGGAAAAUAAAGUUGACAUUGCAUCUUCAAUGCUGGAUGAGAUAAUAGCAAGAGGUUUGGUUCCAAAUGUUGUAAUAUGUCCCAGAGUUUUUUUUCUGCUUCUAUAAAAUAAAUGGAUUGGAAAAAGUGUAUCUACUGAGGAAUUAACAGAAGAAGCAAGGCUGUGCUCCAGAUUGCUUAAUGUUUCAUUAAUUUGGUGAUCGGCUUUUUGGUGUCAGCUUAUGGAAAAAUCAAUACUUUGUCAAAGCUGAUGCAAUUAUCAUUUCUGAAUGAAAUUCUCCCAACUUUUUGUAUUAGAUGUAUAUAGAACUUAGAAGUCAUAAAGUGCGAAAUAUUUCAGAGGUAGCAAUAAAUAGUCCUUGUACACACAUAGCACGUUGGUGUCUUACGUUCAGGUGAUGGUUAUCAAUGUUGCUGUUGCAGAUUUGAUCCUAGUCUGCCUGUGUAAUUUAAAUUAGCUUGAGUCUGUAAGUAGUGGCUACUAGCUAGUAUAUAGUGCAUCCUCUUAUGGGUACUGAAAUCUAUUUUCUUGUAAUGUACAUAUGCCAGCUCUCCUUUAAUAAUCAAGGCUUCUUGGAGCAUUUUACUGUGAAUGAGAUUAACUGCUCAACCAACAAUUAUCUGCCAGGUCAGACAUUCAACAUUGAACGGCAACGAGCCAAACUACACACUCUAGCUUAUGUUCUGUAUUGCAUCAUUCCAAAAUUAGGUAAUUUGGAAAGUGUAUCCGCCAUUCCAAAUAAGCACAAUCAAUAAUAAUUUUGACAUUCGCAAAAUUGAUUUGAUUUGCUUGGUGGGUUAAUAUCUCAUAAAGUGGCAUUAGGGCUGGAAAAACACAAGUAGUUAAAAAGAUUUGGGUUUCAUUAAUUGUAAUCUCCUCUGGUUGGAUAAUUUUGUUAAUUUGAAUCUUCCUUACCUUGAUGGCCAUGGCCCAGGAGGAUUUACAAAUCCAAAUUUCAAUAUCAGUCUAGCCUUGUCACGAUUUGUUCUAAUAUCUCUGCCUUACUGGAACACUUACAUUGUUUUCAUUAGUUUUUGGUAAUGUCUGUUAUAUAAUAUUGGCUAAUAUCCCAUUUUUAAUCUUUUGAAAACACCCUGAAUCAAAUGAAAAGUGAGAAUUUUGUGGAUAUUUACCCAAGUUUUGUAUUUAAAAUUACUCUUUGCAGGUCACAGGUAAAGCUUAAAAUUUCCAGCUAUUUUUCUAGGAGCCGGACAUUUGGUCAAUUUUUUAAUCCAUUUAACAACAAUUUGAACUUAAUACUCAUGUUUUUGUGUAACUGUUCAACAGACAUGAGAAGGUGCCUGCCAAUGUCCGGUGGACUGAUAUAUCCUAAAUUUUAAAUGUGAAUGAGACCUGGUGCUUUUUUUUUUCUGGAUUUUGAAUAUCCUUUUCGAUGGCUUUUGUUUGCAUUUUGUCUCACAGCUGCUGUACCUGGAGAUUUAUUGUUUUGAAGAAGUUCCUGUUUCUAUUUUGAACAGACUGACUUGAUAUUUAUUCAGUGGAUAUUAUCAGGGCAAAACUGGGUGAAGAACAUACAUAGCUAGUUGUACACAGUUAGCUAGUUGUACACAGUUUUCACCUGUCUCAAAAACUGUGAAAAAACUGAUGAAAUGCAUUAUAUAGGAUAUUGUUUCGUUACAUAUACAUGGAAGCCUAUCACCACCAAUUUCUUCCUGCAAAAUAAGUGUUCCAUGGGGCUUGUGCCCUCGGGGAUGGAGGUGAUGUCCAAGAGAUCUCAGGGACUGGACAGCUUGCUCCAUUUGGUCCAUUUUAUAACAAAAAGGGUAACUUCUGAAUUAAAAAGUGCUGAAACUAUCCAAAACUCUAAAAGGGCGAGCAUUGUCAUUGUAAAUGCAGUACAUUUUAUUCACUUUUAAAAAAUUCAGC